GAAUCAUUGUGAGGGCAAUCUGGCUGCGACAUCUGUCAUGCCAUUGAUCGCCGGGGUUGAUUUGGCUGAUCUGGCUGGCUAGGCAGGUGUCCCCUUACCCUCACAGCUCCACAUGUGUCCCUCCUGAAGCUGCAUGCUCAGUUGAAGAGGACAACCUUUGCCAAUACAGGUGGUACUGUUCAUCGGUAUACGGUAGCUGCACCCCCCUGCUAGAACCUCCAAACAAGUUCAAGGUCCCAUUGUAGGAGAACAUAGGGUAGUCAAGCUUCCAAGACUGCAGACACAGUGAGGCACUGCAUGUGGCAGUCUGCCAUUCUUU
rnacentral:snRNA from 14 species